rfam:Camelus ferus unplaced genomic scaffold scaffold1126, whole genome shotgun sequence.
GAGGGUAUAGCUCAUUGGUAGAGCGUGUGCUUAGCAUGCACCAGGUCCUGGUCAAUCCCCAGUACCUCCA